UUUAGAGUUUGUUCCUGGUUCCGGACGAACGCUGCGGGCAUGCCUAAUACAUGCAAGUCGAACGGUGAAGCACUCUGCUUGCAGAGUGCGGAUGAGUGGCGAACGGGUGAGUAACACGUGGGGAAUCUGCCUAGGAGUGGGGGAUAACAUUCGGAAACGGAUGCUAAUACCGCAUAUCUUCUUAGACCGCAUGGUCUAUGAAUGAAAGACGGCUUUGCUGUCGCUCUUAGAUGAUCCCGCGGCGUAUUAGUUAGUUGGUGGGGUAAAGGCCUACCAAGACAAUGAUACGUAGCCGACCUGAGAGGGUGAUCGGCCACACUGGGACUGAGACACGGCCCAGACUCCUACGGGAGGCAGCAGUAGGGAAUCUUCCACAAUGGGUGCAAACCUGAUGGAGCAAUGCCGCGUGAAUGAAGAAGGUCUUCGGAUCGUAAAGUUCUGUUAUUAGUGAAGAACAAAUCGAGGAGUAACUGUCUCGAUUUUGACGGUAACUAACCAGAAAGUCACGGCUAACUACGUGCCAGCAGCCGCGGUAAUACGUAGGUGACAAGCGUUGUCCGGAAUUAUUGGGCGUAAAGGGAGCGCAGGCGGUUGGAAUAGUCUGAUGUGAAAGCCCACGGCUUAACCGUGGAAGGUCAUUGGAAACUGUCCAACUUGAAUGCAGAAGAGGUAAGUGGAAUUCCAUGUGUAGCGGUGAAAUGCGUAGAUAUAUGGAGGAACACCAGUGGCGAAGGCGACUUACUGGUCUGUGAUUGACGCUGAGGCUCGAAAGCGUGGGUAGCGAACAGGAUUAGAUACCCUGGUAGUCCACGCCGUAAACGAUGAGUGCUAAGUGUUGGAGGGUUUCCGCCCUUCAGUGCUGGAGUUAACGCAUUAAGCACUCCG
rnacentral:rRNA from 1 species